AUCUUUCAUUAGGAAAUCAUCUUCAGCAACAACUGUCGGUUUCCUUGUGUUUCUGAUUGGUUUUAUAACACAGAUUGUAUCAGCUACUGGAUUCCCUUAUUCCAGCGCAUAUGCAGUUUCUCGCCGGGUGAUGUAGUCUCUUUUUCCACCCAACACCUUUUCUGCGGGCCUUAAGAUUCUUCUUGAUGCAACCUCAACUCCCACAAGCUCUGGAAUUAGUUGGAGUAAAAGAGCCGUAUGUGAAGGGAACCAAGCAACUUGUGUAAUUUCUAUUAACAUUGUAUACCAGUGGCUUCUUGGGACAUUCCUGUUCUGGUUUGGUCUGGCUAUCUAUUUUGACAAUAUAAUUCCCAA